rnacentral:tRNA from 1 species
UGCGGGGUAGUUUCUGUUGGUAUGAAAUACCUGACUUUGAAUCAGGUGUCUGCUGGUUCGAUUCCAGCCCCCGCAG